UUGAGAGAAGAGCAUAUGCUUUAAAUUUUUGACGCCAAUAAACAGAUGAUUUGCUUUUUUUCUCAAUUCUAUGUUGAAAAUGUAUGCCAUAAAGGUAGGAUACAUAAUGAAACACACAAAUUUGAAGGUGAGACUUGAACAGUUUUAAGUAUCUACAACUUUAUAUCUACAAAGAAGAGAGAUUCAUUAAUCAAACUUGAGUAAACUCAAGAGCGUUUGCGUCUGGAUCACGAGUGAAUAUCGCUGGCCUCCCCGACCUACUCAUAGUAUACUCAAUCCCUACAACACAAACAAACAAACCCAUCCUUAAAGCAAAAACAAGAAGGAAGGAGAUGAAGCAAAAUGUUUAUAUAUAUAUACAUAUUACCAGCUUUGUCCAAAAUCGCUUUAAGAUUUGAAACAUCACGGAUUGCGAUACAAGCGUGUCGAUCCCGGCCUCCGUGCUCGGGUCUGCCUGUUAACGGAUCAGGAUUUGGAAGCUCCAUUAAAUGAAUCAUCUCCGAACCUACCCAUAACCAUGCUCCUCUAUACGGAAGCUUAUCAUGUGGUCUCGCCUCGUUAAUCUCAAGUCCUAAAAUGUUCUGGUAAAACUCCAGUGACCGUUCUAAGUUCUCGCAGAGCAAACCAACGUGGUGAACCCCAACAACUCCAUAAUCUAUAGCAUCAACAAGUCUUAUUAUCUCAACUGUAACUUUAAAUCCGAAAACAAAGUAAAGGCGAAAUCGGUUUAGUUACCGGUUUGAUUGUUAAUCUCUUUCUCUUGUACCACAAUGAUCCCUUCAGCUGACCCUUGUGCUUGAUUAGCCUUCAAGCUACCAUGGAGCCUAUCUUUUCUCAGAUUCUUGUUCUUCUGAAACUCAAAUCGUUCUAUCGCAGGGAGAUGAUUCGUGCAAGACACCUUUUCCAAUUACCAAAACUCUUCAUCAUUAGUCCAACACAUACAAUCGAUUUUAAAUGAUAACACACAAUCUUAACUUCUCAAACUCAGUAUCUUUAAAUUAAAGGAAGACCCUUAAAGUUUACAGAACUAGCGUCGACGACCAACUCGAGAGAGGUAAGAAUAACCAUGAAAGAGCUAUUUAUUUCUGGAAAUCUGGUAACGUAAUAAUCUAUUAAGUGACUGAAGAAACGUAACUGUUACCUUUGGUCGUAGAUCAAGUGAAACUGAAGGUCUGAAAAUAGACGCCAUCGUUGUAAGAGAAGCUUCGAUGUCUGUUUCUUUUACGCUCUCAUCAACACAUGAGUAAGAAUCAUCUUCUUGAUUUGGUUUAUUAUUAUCGGGUCAAGAUUACUAAAGAGAGCCCAACAAAAAAACCUGAACCACAGAUUAAAGGUAAAGUUAAGUGAGAAGAGUUUUGACAUCUGUGUUUAUUUGUUUGUUCUGUUUUUUUUUUAAAUUAGGUGUUAUUAGUUUAUAUAUUUUGAUUGAUUUAGAAAUUCAUAUAAUAUUUAUAAAUCUAAAUAAAAUAUGCAAAUAUGGAGGUUUUUCCUUGGAUUUGAGUCUUUGUAUUUUUAACUAAAAAAUCAAACAAAUCCAUUAUAAAAUCAAAUAUAUUAGUAAAUCCGUACGAUUGAAUAACACUUAAUUUAAUAUAUAAUUUAUAAAUCAUUAAACUGAUAACACAUGAUUUUAAUACAGAUUUGAAAAUCACAGAAUCAAUAACACUAAAUUUAGUUAAGAUUUUCAAAUCCAAUAAAAUUCAACGAUCAAUAACCCCUACUAAAACUUAAAAGAAAGGAAUAAGAUUCUCGAUUUUUAUUUCGUUGAUCUUAAGUCUGUAUGUGAAAUGAUUUCGUACCUGUUUACACAAAAGUCUGUCCAUCAUCACAUCACAUGGGAAAAUAAAAUCUAUUUCGUAUGGUGUUUUGAAAUUUAUUUAUUUCAGCGACCACAGAAAAAUAUCUAUACUUUUUGUGAAAUCAAUAAAGUAGAACAUGUGAUGUAGUGUCAUAUAGUCAUGUUUUAAUAAAAUGAAAAAGGUUGAAAGGUUAUCAGAUAUGUCGAUGGGCCAAGCCCAGUCCAUAUAGUAAAGAAAUUUGGUCAUUCAUCUUGCUAUUUUACUAGCUUUCUCAAGUGACAAUAUAGUCUUCGCUAAAAUUUACCCUUUUUUACUGAAAACAUGAUAUUAAGACUCUGUGAUAAACAUAGAAUUCAAAUUUGCCAGUACUUUACUUUUCAAGAAAAAUAAUUGAAUUUUGUGUUCAAAUAAUUUUCCUUAUUAUUAGUCUUGUAAGUUUUUUUCAACAAAGCAAAUCCAACUUUGAAAAGAUCUUAGCUCCAUGUAAUUCAUCCAACAGUUGAUCAAUCAUUGGGAUUGGAUACUUGUCUGGAACUGUUGCACGGUUCAAUGCACGAUAAUCCACACAGAAUCGAUGUGAAUUGUCUUUCUUCUUAACCAACAGAACCGGACUUGAAUACGGACUCUGGCUCGGCCUUAUCAACCCUUCCUCUAACAUUUCUUUAACCAUUCUCUCCAUCACCUCCUUGUGUGUGUGCGGAUACCUGUAAGGUCUCACGCUUAUCGGUUUAGAGCUGUCCAACAACACAAUUGCAUGUUCUCGACCUCUGAUUGGAGGCAACCCUACCGGUUUCUGAAAUACCCCGUCAUAGUGCUGCAACGUCUGAGCAAUCGGUAAUGGUAACUCCGUCACUGUCUCACCCUUUUCCUCCAAUGAUCGUACCUCCAUCUCAACUCCUUUGUGACACACCAUGUUAUCUGAUGUGAAUGAUUUGAGAGAUACGGUUUGAGCAUGAAGCGUUGGAUCCCCUCUUAACGUCACCGGUGCUCCCUUAUAGACAAAAGACCAUUCAUUCUGUUCCCAAUCCACCAUGCAUUUGCCCAACGUUCUCAACCAUUCGACUCCAAGGAUAACGUCAACAUUUCCCAACUCCAAAACCACAAAAUCUGCUUCAAAGGACAUAGAUGGUAACCCCACCGUCACUUUCUGACACACUCCUGUCCCUUGAACUGAGAUUCCCGUUCCAAGCAAGACGCGCAGAUUCGUAUUCUCUGUAACCUUAAGUUUUGUCUUCUGUACUGUCGAAGGUGAGAUGAAGUUAUGAGUCGCACCACUAUCUAUCAUGACCACCACUGAAUUCUUCUUAAUUGCUCCCUUCAGUCAGAUAAGACAAAGAAAGCAUGCUGGCUAGUUACUGCUUUGCGUGAAGGGUUAAAGGAGCAGGAGACAAAAGGAACCAAAGCUUAACUCAAGUUAUGGUAGCAAGGUUAACUCUACCUAUGGUUAGUUGUUGCUUUAGGUUAAGGCUCCAGCAGUAUAAAAGUAAAGAGAACAGGUCAGAGUUGUGUGUGCCGCUGAAGAAGAGCACCAAAGGGUGCGAAAGCACCAGGAGCUUUAGAGUGUAUAAACACCUAGGCUGAGAGUACUACAAGCACAUAAUUGCUUGGUAGUAGAGAAACUAGAGAGAGGGGAAACAGGGGUUUGAGAGAUAGCUUUGUAUUCACAUGAGAGGGUGAGAGACAAAGCUUGUAACCUCUUGAUCUAGUGGAUUGGUAGCUUGCCUACCCCCUGAGAUGUAGGUACCUCGAAUGAGGCCGAACUCAGGGUAAACAACUCAAGUGUGCUCCCUUUUACAUCCCUGUCUUGCAUCAUAUCUUUUAUCAUCAUCAACUUCAUGCUACUGAGUUUUGCAUUCCAAGCUAUCUAAGUGCAUAAGUGCUUGAACAAAUGGUAACUUGAUGUCUGUGUAGAGGCAUAGAUCUCAACACUCAGCUUAUCAAAAGGCCAUGGCAACAUGGUUCUCUUUUAGAUAAUCUACUGUGAUGUAAAGCUAAUUUAAUUUUAAAACAUCUCUGGAGCAAACAACUUCAGUUGUAAACAAUUUUUUUUUGUUGAAUUAAUUUAACAUUCUUCCAGAAAAAAAAAGAGCAGAAAGACUUUGAGAGAAGAGCAUAUGCUUUAAAUUUUUGACGCCAAUAAACAGAUGAUUUGCUUUUUUUCUCAAUUCUAUGUUGAAAAUGUAUGCCAUAAAGGUAGGAUACAUAAUGAAACACACAAAUUUGAAGGUGAGACUUGAACAGUUUUAAGUAUCUACAACUUUAUAUCUACAAAGAAGAGAGAUUCAUUAAUCAAACUUGAGUAAACUCAAGAGCGUUUGCGUCUGGAUCACGAGUGAAUAUCGCUGGCCUCC
rnacentral:lncRNA from 1 species